rnacentral:rRNA from 1 species
UGGGGAAUUUUGGACAAUGGACGAAAGUCUGAUCCAGCCAUGCCGCGUGCGGGAAGAAGGCCUUCGGGUUGUAAACCGCUUUUGUCAGGGAAGAAAUCCUUUGAGCUAAUACCUCGGGGGGAUGACGGUACCUGAAGA